CUCCACACAUAGCAGUUAUCUGUGCGUGGAAGUGAGUGCAGUGCUGUUUUCAUGCUUAAUUCAGAUUUAUUUUAAGUUGUAUACUUACAUUGGAUUUGAAAAAAUUGUUUGUGUGGUGUUCGGGAAGCAACUCAGGGCCUCACCCAUGCUAGGCAGGCCUCUGCCACUGAGUGCAGCCCAGCACCCUACAAAUUUUCUUGUCUAGUUGUGCUUUCCAUAUCUUUUCUAAAUAAUCUUUCCUCACUCCAAGAUUACGUCAUUUAGAAGCAUGCUGCUAAACAUCCAUGUGUGCUCACACACACAAAGUGUUAAGUUUUGCUGUGCUUAGCAAAACAAGGAGUUCUGUGAGAAAGUAUGAACUCUUUGAACCAUGUCCUUGUUGCUGUCUUAAGAAGAUAAAAGCAUAUUCUGCGAAGUGUAAAAUAUAAUUUAUAUAUAUAUGUGUGUGUGUGUGUGUGUGUGUGUGAGUGUGUGUGUGUGUGUGUGUGUGUUUGCCUGGGAAUAACUAACUACAGUUAAUUGAUAAGAAAUACGGAGCACUGUGACCAUAAACAAAAUUUUCCUGAGAAUGUUUAUCCAUGCUUGUAAGGAUUAAGCUGCCAAAAGGAUGUUUUUCUUUCCCCUUGUUUUAAUUAACAAUGCUUUAUAAAAGAAGGAGAGAAAAAAGUAAAGAUGAUGCUCAUUUCUACUGGA
rnacentral:lncRNA from 1 species